UAAGGCGAGCUCAGGGAGGACAGAAACCUCCCGUGGAGCAGAAGGGCAAAAGCUCGCUUGUUGAUUUUCAGUACGAAUACAGACCAUGAAAGCGG
rnacentral:ncRNA from 1 species